rnacentral:rRNA from 1 species
GACGAACGCUGGCGGCGUGCUUAACACAUGCAAGUCGAACGGUGAAGCUCCAGCUUGCUGGAGUGGAUCAGUGGCGAACGGGUGAGUAACACGUGAGCAACCUGCCCCUGACUCUGGAAUAAGCGCUGGAAACGGCGUCUAAUACUGGAUACGAGAAGGGUCCGCAUGGGCACUUUCUGGAAAGUUUUUCGGUUGGGGAUGGGCUCGCGGCCUAUCAGCUUGUUGGUGAGGUAAUGGCCCACCAAGGCGUCGACGGGUAGCCGGCCUGAGAGGGCGACCGGCCACACUGGGACUGAGACACGGCCCAGACUCCUACGGGAGGCAGCAGUGGGGAAUAUUGCACAAUGGGCGAAAGCCUGAUGCAGCGACGCCGCGUGAGGGAUGACGGCCUUCGGGUUGUAAACCUCUUUCAGCAGGGAAGAAGCGAAAGUGACGGUACCUGCAGAAGAAGCACCGGCUAACUACGUG